GAAGAUUUCCAGCCAUCUGACAUUUCCAAAAUGGGUUCACGCACGCACACCAGCACACUUGUUCCUAUGGGCGAUCAGUCACUUGUUUCUAUGAGCGAUCACCACCAGGUUCAUUUCAUUUGCCCAACGGUCGCGGACAUUGUCAUGACGUUUGCUCUUUUUUCGGGUCUGCGCGAUCAGCUGAUCAUGAUGGCCGCCAAAAGCAGGUUUUCAGCUCAACCGAGCAUUAUUAAUCAUAAGCCGAAAGAGAGGGCACCUCCAACAGAGUGAGUGGGAAAGACAACAAACGCUUUUCAAAUACCACAAAAUUUAUGGCUUGAAGCCAAGCCGACGGCAAGCAGUCCGCGACAUGCACAAAAGUCAUUUAUUUCGCGGACUCUGCUUUUUGACCUAGAAAAUCAUCGGUAGUCGCUGCGAUUCCGAUUCGUAUCUCCCAGAUACACACGCACUUCCGCUGCCGCCGAACUCAUAAAUUAUCUGCACUACUUUUCCACAAAUUUCAAACGGGAACAGGGGGGGACCAAACUCCUUUAGGGUCUCCGAUUUCAAAUCCCUAACUCGCUGAAAGUCCUGCAAACUAUAGACCCUUCAUUUGUACGCUGACCAACGCCUUGAACGGAUCUUACAGCUUUCGCAGCCGUGAUCUUGACCAAGAUCGAGGCCAGUUUACCGCCGGCAUUUCGCGAUCUUAGCAGCGCGUUCUUUUGUUUUCCUAUUCCCCCCGUUCGUAUCGUUUCUCGUGUGUUUUUGCUGAUCUGGAGCAAAUUGGUUUUUGGCGGUUAAUAAAUUUUCAAAUUAAUUGACUAAUUGCAUACCUACAGCGGAGCAAACAGAAUGGCAAUAAAAGUGAAUCGAAAGAGAGCAGCCGAAAAGAUACGGAUGUAAAUUCCGCGAUAAGACGGGUUCCAGGAUAUUUGAAGCCAGUGGCUCAUCGCGAGCAAAUAUGGUCACUACUCCCCAAAGAGGUGAUUCCAUCUACGAUGUAUCUGUUUUUCGAGUUCCAACCGUUCAUUAAGUGUAGCUAAGCAAACAAACUGCAAUUCCAACGUGUGUUCACUUUGGAUCAAAGAUUCAAAUGGACGUUUUAAUGACACAAUGAUAUGGUAAAUUACGCCAGUGUAAAUGCUAUUAGCUGUGGCCUGUAAUCACGGCUGCUAAAAGGAGCUUAAAGUGUUUUGCUUUGUAUGAGUAGUGCUUAUUGACUCAAUAUUAAAUACACGGUGUUUUGAAAGAUUUUGAAGAAAAGAAAUUUGCUCUAUUCGAAUUUUAUCAUUGUGAUAAACAACAUUCUAUAUUUCUAAUAAUAUAAAAUAUUAUCUUAUUUUCUGAGCUUCAGUACCAAUAAUUAGCACAUACUUUGCCAGUUCAUUCAGAUCUCCCCAAAGUGUUCAUUACGGCAAUGAGGCCAAAAUUACUAAUUCAUUAAUUGAAACCUGCCUCAGUCCGGUGCUGACCAGGCCACGCCAGAUGUCCAUUGGCUCUUUGCUCGUUGGCGACACACGCCACGAUGUCCUUGCCAGGGCCACCCCCCCCCCCUUUCGUCCUGGCCGUCCUGCAGAUGCUGCAAAUGCCAACGGUAAAAACGAAAGUGCCCUGUUGCCAUUUUAUGAACUGUUUCUGCUCCGUUGGAAAGAGUACAACACUUACACUUGCCACACACAAAGUGCUCCCCAGUUAAUAAUUUCGAUGUGUGUAAAAUCAAAUUGCCAGCACGUUGCGAAUGCGGAUGUGUGAGCGGAGUAUCUCUCGGAUAACAUGAGUGCUGUGUGUUGGGCUAAUUUGCCAGUGAUUUGAAGCCCAUCAAAUUAAUGGUAGAAUUCUUCUUUGAGUUUUGCUUCGGGAAUAAUUUAUGCAUAAGCGUGGUGCGACGAUUUUUGAACUUUCUUUUUCGUUUCCAGCAUAUGUGGCAUUUUCGCACUCUGCACAUUCUUUUAUUGUCUAUUUUUUUUUUUUGUUGGGUGUGCCAGGACGGACAUUUGUCCGUAUUGCAGGUGCUGUCGUUUGUUUGUCUGGACUGGGUCUACUACUCUUUCUCGUUCUCCAUUUCUCCUUUCUCUACUGGCUGUUAUUGUGUAAUGUCUAUGAAUAUGAAUUAUGGAAAUUGCAGAGCCACAACGACAAGGACAACGACCAGCGAACAAGAGCCUGAGUAUUCAAAAUACUCACAGUCGCAUUUGGCACAAUUUUUUGUUGGCCAUUUUUUGUCAUUCGCUCGCGAAUUUUAAAACUCUCCUGGGAGGGUUUUUUGUUGAUUUUUGGGGGCGGUGUUUCCGCAUGUUUGCAGGCGAUUUUUGAGGUCGUUGGUACAGUGACCGAGUUUGGUUUUUUAUGGAUUCGAUCUAUUUUAAAGGUUUGACUGAAGAUUUGUUAACUAUGUAGGAUGAUCAGGAAUCCUUGCUUGAAUGUCUAGCUACCACAACCUUAUAAAAAAUAUAAUAAACAAAUUCGAUCUUUUUCUGCGUUCAUCCUGCAACUUGAAAAAAUCCCACAUAAAUUCAAUUAAAUCGAACACCGGCUCUGGCGAUUCCAAUAUUAUACAAUCGAAUAAAAAAUAAGGAGCUCUCGUUUGCCCUCAUGUGCCACGCCCACUGCGUCGGACAUCCGCCGCUGACAUUUACAUUUAAUGCUUGCAAAUUUAACAAAUAAUAUUCAAUUAACAAUUUGAAUAUGAAUUUAUUACAGGGGUGCCGGCCGACGGAGGCCGAACCGCGCGUCCAAAGUGGUAACAACUUCGACAUCGCCAAUCGACAUGUGAGGGGAGGGUUUUUAGCGGGAAGUAACGAGUUGGCCAAGUGGCCGACUUGUUUACCCUGCCACCAGCAAACACACAAGGCGAAAAACAGACCAAAAAAAAAAAACAAAACAAAAACAACCACGCUGAAAACAAAACAAAGCCGGGGAGGCGAAAAAAAGUUAUGUGAAAAAGGUGGGAAAAUGCAAGCAUUGUUAGCCUUUUGGUCAGGCUAAAAGGUAACGAAGCAUGCAGCCACUGACGGAUAAACGGACAAACGGACAGCUAUACGGACAUUCAGAUGGAGGAAGCCGCGCAGGAAGCACAAGGAGCAUGCCACGACUCCUGGCAGGCCGCACAUUUCAAUAAUUAUUAACUGCAACAUGCUACAUGCAACAUGGCCACAUGGCCACAUGCAACCUGCAACGCGCCGCACAGUAGCAAUACACACACAAACAUAUAGAGUAACUAGGGGGACCAGCAAUUAUCAAAACUUGUCCAAAUUGACAUUUUUUCCCGGCCAGCCAGGUGGACGCACAUGCAUUUUAGAGUUGGGGGUGUCAGCCCGUUGGCCAUUGCAUUUUGGCACGUUGCGGAUUUUGAAAUGCAAACACGGCAUUUAAUUCUAUUAAGGCCGCUAUUUAAUUAUCUCUUGCGGCCACGGACCCAAAUCGCGGCUUUCAAUGUCAGAGAAGCCGGAAGAGAGUGGUUCCCCUGUUUCGAUCCAAAGACCCCUCCCCCACAAGUUGCCCCUUAAGUGCUGGGCAUAAUCCACAGCCAGAAGCUGUGGGGCUUAUCGGUGCUUAUCUGUGAGAGUCAAAAGUGAUGCCACACGGUGAAAAGUGGAAAUCGAAUUCGGCUUUAACUGAUCGAUUGUUUAAUGAUUAAUUGCUUGAGAAAUUGCAUUCCCAUUUUUGUCAUGCAAAAUAAUGAUGUAUCAGUGUGGAAAAUUUAAAGUUUAUGUAUUCUUGCAAGCUAAUCAUUUUCUAUUUCACCAGAUCAGAACAUCUUGUUGAACGACACACUUUUCUCUCCGUGCACAGUUGGUGGAUCUUGAAUCUGGGAUAGUUGAUCGCAGAUUCCCAAGUAGCUGCCCACUUGUUGCGCCUGUGCCAACAUUUAGCUACCGAUUUGCGCGAGAUUAUCAAUUGAAUAUAAAUAAUAAGUGGGAGCGAAGUAGCUGACUGAGCAGCAAUCUGGGUGGCUCAGCUUUACUAUGGCCCCGCAAUUUUUCGCCCCAAUGCUCCGGUAACAAUGUAUGUAAUUUGAGUGGCCUGCCCGCAAAAAAACCAAAAAAAACUCAAGACCCGCGCUGAUCAGAGGGAGGCAUCCAUCCCCAAGUCCCCGGCUUUUCCCUCGUUCACGUGUGUAAUUGGAUUUUAAGAAGUAGCUGCGCGAGACAAGACUGAUUGAUAACCUCGCAUCAAAAGGUCCCAAACAACAGGCUGAAAUAAACGCCUUCAGUGGCUCUGGGGCUUUGAUGUUCGCGUUCGGCAGCGAAUAUCUUAAGAGGAUCAGAUAUAGACGAAUUUGUGAUACACUGAACUAAAUGGAUGGGAUGCAAAUAUUCUAGUAAAUUAAAUAUGAAAAAAGGUAUGAAAAUUCCAUUAUAAACUUGCGUUAUCUUUAAUCGCUGUAUGCAUUAUUUUAAGAACAAUUAAUACAGCUGUAAACUGCAGUCGAUCAGCUUUAUAGAAUUACAUUCUAUUAAUGAAGAAGGUCGGAAUAUUUGCUGCAUUUUUAUAUUAUAAUUAAAUUAAUAAAAAUUCAUUAAUUCAUUUGAAUGCUCCAGCAAACUCAGACAAUGAAUAAUGAAACCAAAAAAAUAUUAUUCAAAUUCAUAUUUUAUCUGGAAAGCUGUUAAUUAACGAAAUUAACACUCAAAGUGCAGGGUAUGCAGGAAAAACACGCAAUUCGGCUACUUGAUCGUCGGCGGGAACGAGAGCCGAUAGCACGAGGUACGAUAGGGAAAAGGGAGCCGCUCGAACAAGGCGUCCAACCGGGCCAAGAUCUGGAUUUUUUCUCCCCCUGCCCAUCCGCCGUGCGUGUUGGUCGCGUUUGUUGGCCAAUUGAAUUGCCAUGUUUAAUAUUAAUUGCCAGCGGAGCAAGCAGCUCGAACAUGGCGAGUUCCCUCGACUGGAGCGUAAUCAUGGGACAGUGAAUCAAUCAUUUCCACACGCGGCCCCCAGGUUUUCCCGGUCCACCCACAGACCCGCCCCAUUGAUUCAUGAAUUUAGCACACCUUAAAGACGAAUACUACAAUAUUUUAGCCACCAACACCAUAAUGGGAUUAGUUCUCUACGGUUUGUUAGUGGACCUGCUCUACACUCUAUACACUAUUUUUCGGAAAACUUAAGAGCGAAUAAUGUAACGAAAUAAAAGUGGAAAUUUUCUUACCCAUGUCUGUUGAUAUGCCGCCGUAUUGUGUUAAAUCAGAUCUUAUCUUACCUGAAAAUGCAAGCAAAGCGGAGAGAAGAAAACGUUUAAAAAAUGUGAAAUCAAAAUUGUUUGCUCUCAAGAGAUCUUGAGAUGCAGAUGGAUGGUGUUUGGACCAUAUGGGGGUACGUGGGGAUCUGGUGGUAGGGGAUCGUAGGGUUAACCAGCCGCACGUGUUGCGGAGCCGGUUAAGAUUUGCCAACCAAAGCUUUGUUGUUGUCGAUGGAAUAUUGGCAACUGACUAGAGAAAUAUAUAUAUAUAAAGGUACAAAAAGAUAACUGAUAAUUGGAAUCAAUUAGAGGCACGCAGAUUAUUUGGAUCUACAUUAAACAUUGCUAUAUUAGAUAACAAUAUUCAAUUAAAGUUAAUAGAUCGAUUUUAAUUAUUUGUAUGUAAAUAUAAAUUAAAAAACAAUUAAUAAGUCAUUCUCCCAGGUGUAAACUAUAACUACAUUCCUUCGAAUAACCCAUUUAAUAAUCAGUUUGGCGAAGCAGAUAAUUCAUUUCAAGAAGGGUGUUGUUUCAAAGCCACUCAAAGUGCACUUCAUAGCUCAUGAUAUCUCGUCUGGCACUACGAGAGUCUUUCAAAGUUUGAACUAGGGCUAUCAAUCGCGGCAUUAUCGCCUGUUUCUAUCGCAGUUUGCUGGAUGUCUCGCCUUUUUCACGAUAUUUAGCGUCGCCUCAGCUUUGUUUAUGCCAUGAAAGUGCAAAAUGUAAACAAUCCGAAAUGCCAACGCCUCGAAAUGGGUCGGUGAGGGGGCGUCGGCAGCUUGCCGUGGAGGUAAAAGGUAAAAGUAUAAAAAUAUGAUUUAAUGGCAGCGAUAAAACACGUGUGUAUUUAAAUAUGCGCGCCUGGCGCCUGAGUAAACGUAAUUUCCAGCUAACAGACACAGAGACAGCCGAGUGCCGCACACAGAUACUGCUACUAUGUGGCCAUCCAGACGCAAAGAAACAACAAAGAAAAUAUUAAAUUAAAAAAAAAGAACAAGAAAACGGCCAAAAACUAUGAGGGGGGGUAAAGGGUAUUAAAUUUGACAAACGCCUCGCUUUCCGCUCUGUCUUUUUUUUUCAUUCUUUCUGUAAAUGAAAAUGGGAAUUAUGAAGGAAAAAAAGAGGAAAACGUCCAGCCGCCACUUUAGACAAAUUCAAACAAAUGGCUGGCAAAAGGGGGGAUGCUGAGUGCUGUUUACAUGCGACGCGACUUGUAAAAAUUAAACAUUUAGUUUGCGGUCUUGCCCCCUAAAAACUGAGCUCAUGACCCCUCCCCACCAGCAAAUUUUCACACCUUUUCAAUGGGAGAAACUGAUUUUUAUGACUCUUUAAGGCGGCGCACGAUUCGUUUUUGUGGCGGAUUAGCCGCCAGUUGCAUAAAUGAGCAAUAGAGAGAGAGAGAGAGAGAGAGAGAUCUCCGGGAAAAUGCUCUCAUUUUCCGGCUGCAGCUUGCGGCGUCUUUGGCCUUUUAUUGCCCAUCAAAUGGGCUGAUAUAAAUCUUAAUUGCCGACCCAAAUAAAUAGACGCCAAGAGCAUGUGGCAUGGAGAACUUUGAGCAGACCAUCAAAUCCAACAGAAUGCAACUUGAACAUCCGAGCUAUUCACUUUCGAGUGGAAAACUCGUUAGCUAUUUAGCAUAAACACUUUCCCAGUUUGACCAGCAAACUGAUAACAACUGGCCGGCAACAACAAGUUCGAGAAGUUGCAGCCAGAAGAAGUCAUUAAGGAAACAUUAAAUUGACAUUAAUGUGGUUCCAAAAAGAGGAGGCGAAGGACUCAGCAGGAGGAGCCGAAAGUUCUGACCAAAGUUCUAGUUCAGAUAAAUCAAAAUAAAAAUCUAUAAAUUAUAGUGUAAAAGCAAAUGUUUGGAGAAUGCUUCGAACCAAUCGAUGACCCAACAACGAAAAAAUAUAUUCCAAGCUGCCAUAACAGUUACCCACAUUUUUGGCCAAGGCAUAUCUCGUAAAUCAUGAAGAGCUGGCCAAACAGGCUCUUGAGAAAAGGUAUCAACGAAUCCGAGAUGCCCUAAUUUUUUGCUACAGAGUGGGUAGGGGAAUCUAGUUUGGAAAACAUGGGAGUUUCCUUAUUAAAACGUUGUUUGUCUCUGAUUAACUUCUUUAUUCAUAUAAAAUAUUCUUACAUAUAGCAUGAACAGACGAAAGAAGUAUUUAUGCUUAAUGAUCGUCAAGCUUGUGAACAUGUGGCUUUGUGCCUACACUGGAAAAUAUAGUUUGUUUCAAUAUUUGUUUCUUAUUUUAAGGGCAUAAGUAAUGUGUCUUCUUAGGAAAGUAAGUUUUGGUCUUUAAUUUAUAAAGUUAAAUUUUUUCUCUCCAGUUCUAUUGGCCGAGCCACCUGAAGCCGCUCGACUGGACAAUUGUGAACCUAUUAAUCUUUGUCUUUUUAGUCUUGGAGAUUUCUAUCUUAAUUGAAGCUCAUUAUAAUAUGCGUUUCCUACGAUGCGGCGUGUUUGUUUGCUGGUAGUAGCCCAACUUCUGUUACACAACCCGAAGACAGGCGAUAUUCAAACGAGAUGGAGAUUGGGCGACUGGGAGACUGGUGGGCAGCUUUUGCACUCGGAGAACUUGGGGCCGUUGGAUUGUGGGGAUCAGAUCGCAAUCAGGCCGAAAUCCCGGCAAGAGGCCACCACCAAUGAAUUAUUAAUAAUAAAUAAAUCAUUAUUAAAAUCAAAAUAAUACGCAAAUAUGCAUAUUAUCGGAAACAACAUGGAGCGUUUUGUGUACGCGCGUGUGUGUGUGUAUUUGUUUCUUUUCAUGUUUACGCCACUUUCCCAUACAGACACACAAGUGGUUAUAAUGAAUGAUUUGUUGUUUUAUAAUAAACACGGCGAGCGUCGAGCAGCAAUGUUGGCGUCUUCCAAGUGGCGAUAUGGCUAUGACGUAGCCACCAAAGGGUUAAUGGAGGGGGUCUUCUGCUUCGGUAACUAACGUCUGCUAUAUGCAUGUUCCCAUACUCCCCCGUAUGUACACAUAUCACCAUAUUCUCGUCCCUUGUCCCUUUCCCUUCUGGCAUGGCUGCGCUCUAUCCAUCUCUCUUUCACCCCUUUGCAUGUGUUUUUGGCCGGGCCGUGUUGUUGUUUUUAUUAGGUAUCAAAAACACCUUAAAACAUGAUUUUGCAACUGCCACGGGAAGACGUCCGCACAGUGGGCCCACAAAUAUGAAUAAUAACGGCUUGUUCACAUGGCAUUUGUAUGUCAAAGAUGAUGAUCGAUAACGAAAAACUGCCAAUGUCACCAUACGGAAGAAACUCACUGUACACUAUACUCUAACAAUUAUUGCUUAUCUGCAAUCGGUUCUACAUGUAUAAUAGUUAUUGAUCACGAAAUUAUUUGAAAAAUACAGCACCUAAUCAUUUUUAAUGGGAUCAUUUGUGGGAGAACGAAUGAUUUUGAAUUGAUACUUUGAAUUGUAAUAAGUUUAACAACUUAGCGCCGUAAAUUGUGUUGUUAAAAUUUAUUUCAUAUUUUUCAGCAUUCACACUGACGUUCCAACUAAUUGACUUUUUUAUAAUACAACAUAUAUUAUUUUAUAAUAUAUAUACUUAUUUAUAUAUAUAUUUCCGGUAGUCAAUUUUUUAGUAGAUUAACUGUUAUAGCCUGUAAUGUUUUUGUAUGUAUUUAAAUUUUAAAGUGCUUAUGGUUUCAAUUUUUUUGAAUUAAAAAUCUUAGCAUUUGCCCAUUGCAACUUCGAGGGCUUCGAAAAAUACGAGGGAAAAGCCAAAAUUGCUCCUCGCCCUGCAGCUCCACGUUGUUGCCGUUGUUGUUGCUGCUGUUGUUGUUGGGCCAUGUGUCUGGGCCACUUUGUGUUGUCGUCGUUGGCGACGUCGACGUCUUGCAACUUUGGUCUCCUCGACCGCCAGUCGCAGUGCGAGUCCAACGACUUGAGGACUGAGGACCGCCAAGGUGCUUAUUAAAUUCCUUAUUUAAAAAUACAUUAAAAAAUGCAAGAAGCUGCCCCAGAACCCGAAAACCAAUCCCCGAAAAAGCAAAAUCGAUGCUCCAGAAGGGGAGACGACUGGCAAGGGGCAUUCGCAUCCCUAGCAUCCGCCACAGAAAUUGCGAUGCUCACAGGCGCUUUGAUUUGUUUCUGAUCUUGCUGAAUUUUGCAUUCUGCGCUCCGCGAAAAAAAUGAUUAAAAGCGCGCGUUGAAAGGUUUUCCUGUGUGCGUUCGCUUGCACUUCGCCAUUUACAUAAUCAGCGGCAUCAUCGACGCACUUCCCCUGGCAAUUAAUUGCAUGUUGCAACGGCAACUGUUGCCCGACAUUUGAACUGCACAAUUUUGGUGUGUCUCCUGCAGCCCACAGCCCAUUAACCUUGCAUGGAUAUGACGUGCCCUCCUCGGCCCUACGUGUUCCAUACAAUUGCAGGUAGUUGUGUAAGUGUAUAUGCUGGAAUACCAGGCAUCCUGAUAAUUACGUCACAGCGUGAGAGUUCUUUCCUCGGUAACUGCGGCAAAUAUGAAUUAUGAUUGCACCGAAACGUGUCAAUUGACCAUCCGCCCAGCUAUUCUCAAGGUCAUUGUGGGACAAAAAAAAGUAACAAGCCGCAACAAAAUCUAUUUAUGAGUUCGAACUGUGCUUACACUGGGAAAAACUUGAAUCAGUAUUGAAUUCUUCAUAAAAUCACAUUAAUAAAUUAGCAUGCGACUUUAUUACACA
rnacentral:lncRNA from 1 species